GUGAGUAACACGUGGGCAAUCUGCCCUGCACUCUGGGACAAGCCCUGGAAACGGGGUCUAAUACCGGAUACGACCUUCCUCCGCAUGGGGGUUGGUGGAAAGCUCCGGCGGUGCAGGAUGAGCCCGCGGCCUAUCAGCUUGUUGGUGGGGUAAUGGCCUACCAAGGCGACGACGGGUAGCCGGCCUGAGAGGGCGACCGGCCACACUGGGACUGAGACACGGCCCAGACUCCUACGGGAGGCAGCAGUGGGGAAUAUUGCACAAUGGGCGAAAGCCUGAUGCAGCGACGCCGCGUGAGGGACGACGGCCUUCGGGUUGUAAACCUCUUUCAGCAGGGAAGAAGCGCAAGUGACGGUACCUGCAGAAGAAGCACCGGCUAACUACGUGCCAGCAGCCGCGGUAAUACGUAGGGUGCGAGCGUUGUCCGGAAUUAUUGGGCGUAAAGAGCUCGUAGGCGGCCUGUCGCGUCGGAUGUGAAAGCCCGGGGCUUAACCCCGGGUCUGCAUUCGAUACGGGCAGGCUAGAGUGUGGUAGGGGAGAUCGGAAUUCCUGGUGUAGCGGUGAAAUGCGCAGAUAUCAGGAGGAACACCGGUGGCGAAGGCGGAUCUCUGGGCCAUUACUGACGCUGAGGAGCGAAAGCGUGGGGAGCGAACAGGAUUAGAUACCCUGGUAGUCCACGCCGUAAACGUUGGGAACUAGGUGUUGGCGACAUUCCACGUCGUCGGUGCCGCAGCUAACGCAUUAAGUUCCCCGCCUGGGGAGUACGG
rnacentral:rRNA from 1 species